CCUGAUCCCAUCCCGAACUCAGCAGUGAAACGAUGUAUCGCCGAUGGUAGUGUGGGGUUUCCCCAUGUGAGAGUAGGUCAUCGUCAAGA
rnacentral:rRNA from 2 species